AUUGAACGCUGGCGGCAUGCCUAACACAUGCAAGUCGAACGAGUGGCGGACGGGUGAGUAAUGUCUGGGAAACUGCCCGAUGGAGGGGGAUAACUACUGGAACCGGUAGCUAAUACCGCAUACCAUCGGAUGUGCCCAUAUGGGAUUAGCUAGUAGGUGGGGUAACGGCUCACCAAGGCGACGAUCCCUAGCUGGCCUGAGAGGAUGACCAGCCACACUGGAACUGAGACACGGCCCAGACUCCUACGGGAGGCAGCAGUGGGGAAUCUUGCACAAUGGGCGCAAGCCUGAUGCAGCCAUGCCGCGUGUAUGAAGAAGGCCUUCGGGUUGUAAAGUACUUUUAGCGAGGAGGCGGUAUUCGCAGAAGAAGCACCGGCUAACUACGUGCCAGCAGCCGCGGUAAUAC
rnacentral:rRNA from 1 species